rnacentral:rRNA from 1 species
UACGGAGGGUGCAAGCGUUAUCCGGAUUCACUGGGUUUAAAGGGUGUGUAGGCGGAUCAUUAAGUCCGUGGUGAAAUCUCCGAGCUCAACUCGGAAACUGCCAUGGAUACUAUUGAUCUUGAAUCUUGUUGAGGUGGGCGGAAUACAUCAUGUAGCGGUGAAAUGCUUAGAUAUGAUGUAGAACACCGAUUGCGAAGGCAGCUCACUAAGCAAGUAUUGACGCUGAGGCACGAAAGCGUGGGGAUCAAACAGG